ACAGUGUAGCGCUCUCCUUUUUUUUUUUUUUUCAGCUGCCUGGAAGAUGAGUCUUGUCAUUACGCUUCCUUCUCACAGAAGCCCAGAAACUUCAUCUGUGUGCGGCUCUGACACUUUGGAGAAUUAACCUCCCCAAGAUUUUAAAACCACCACCCAGUACCUUCGCCCUUGAACCUACAUGCCACAAGAGCUCAGCAACAUUAACACUAAAACCUUGGGAGAUUUAUGUGGCUGACCCUGGACUACCAGUGGGUGAGUCACUGUAUCCGAUGAUCCAUGAUCCGUCUUCAGGAAAGU
rnacentral:lncRNA from 1 species